rnacentral:tRNA from 1 species
GCAGGGUUAGCUCAGUUGGUUAGAACAUGGUGCUAAUAACGCCCAGUUCACAGGUUCAAUCCCUGCUUACUGCA